rnacentral:rRNA from 1 species
CGAGUGGCGAACGGGUGAGUAACACGUGGGUGAUCUGCCCUGCACUUCGGGAUAAGCCUGGGAAACUGGGUCUAAUACCGGAUAGGACGAUGGUUUGGAUGCCAUUGUGGAAAGUUUUUCGGUGUGGGAUGAGCUCGCGGCCUAUCAGCUUGUUGGUGGGGUAAUGGCCUACCAAGGCGUCGACGGGUAGCCGGCCUGAGAGGGUGUACGGCCACAUUGGGACUGAGAUACGGCCCAG